AGAGUUUGAUCCUGGCUCAGGAUAAACGCUGGCGGCGUGCCUAACACAUGCAAGUCGAACGCGGUCUCGUGAAAGCGAGAUCGAGUGGCGGACGGGUGAGGAACACGUGGGUUAUCUACCUUGAGGUGAGGAAUACCGGCGAGAAAUCGCCGACAAUACCGCAUAGGUUUCGGAAGAAACAAAGCUGAGAAAUCGGCGCC
rnacentral:rRNA from 1 species